rnacentral:Y_RNA from 1 species
GGCUGGUCCAAGUGCAGGGGUGUUGAGGGUUAAUUGAUCACAGCCAGUUACAGAUUUCUUUGUUCCCUCUCCAGUCCCACUGCUUCACUUGACUGGGAAAA